UGGUGUCUGUAGGCAUAACAUGUUAAAACAUCCUUGGGGCGACAGGUAGCCUAUUGGUUAAAGCGUUGGACUAGUAACUGAAAGGUUUCAAGAUCAAAUCCCCGAGCUGACAAGAGGACCUGAGCCCUAGGACCAUGCCUCAGGACUACCUGGUCUGAUGACUCCUUGCUGUCCCCAGUCCACCUGGCCGUGCUGCUGCUCCAGUUUCAACUGUUCUGCCUGCGGCUAUGGAACCCUGACCUAUUCACCGGACGUGCUACCCUGUCCCAGACCUGCUGUUUUCAACUCUCUAGAGACAGCAGAAGCAGUAGGGAUACUCUGAAUGUUCGGCUAUGAAAGCCAAUAUACAUUUACUCCUGAGGUGCUGACCUGUUGCUGACCUGUUACACCCUUGACAACCACUGUGAUUAUUAUUAUUUGACCCUGUUGGUCAUCUGUGAACAUUUGAACAUCUUGGCCAUGUUCUGUUAUAAUCUCCACCCGGCACAGCCGGAAGAGGACUGGCCACCCUUCACAAAAUAUAGAGAGUGGUACUCAGUAAUGUGUUGAAUUGGAUUUGCCCCAAGCAUAACACUUUGUAUUCAGGACAAAAAAGUGAAUUGCUUUGCCACAUCUUUUGCAGUAUUACUUUAGUGCCUUGUUGCAAACAGGAUGCAUGUUUUUAGAAUAUUUUUAUUCUUUACAGGCUUACUUAUUUUCCCUCUGUCACUUAGGUUAGUAUUUUGAAGUAACUACAAUGUCCUAUCACAGCCAUUAAACUAUGUAACUGUUUUAAAGUCACCAUUGGCCUCAUGGUGAAAUCCCUUAGCAGUUUCCUUCCUCUCCAGCAACUGAGUUAGGAUGGACACCGGUAUCUUUGUAGUGACUGGGUGUAUUGAUACACCAUCCAAAGGGUAAUAAAUAACUUCAACAUGCUCAAA